rnacentral:rRNA from 1 species
UACGUAGGGUGCGAGCGUUAACCGGAAUUACUGGGCGUAAAGCGUGCGCAGGCGGUUCGUUGUGUCGGCGGUGAAAGCCCCGGGCUUAACCUGGGAAUGGCCGUCGAAACUGGCGAACUGGAGUGUGGCAGAGGGGGGUGGAAUUCCGCGUGUAGCAGUGAAAUGCGUAGAGAUGCGGAGGAACACCGAUGGCGAAGGCAGCCCCCUGGGCUGACACUGACGCUCAGGCACGAAAGCGUGGGGAGCAAACAGG